AGAGUUUGAUUCUGGCUCAGGACGAACGCUGGCGGCGUGCUUAACACAUGCAAGUCGAACGGAGCGCCUAUGAAGGAGAUUUCGGUCAACGGAAUAGGCUGCUUAGUGGCGGACGGGUGAGUAACGCGUGAGGAACCUGCCUUUCAGAGGGGGACAACAGUUGGAAACGACUGCUAAUACCGCAUAACACAUAGGUGUCGCAUGGCAUUUAUGUCAAAGAUUUAUCGCUGAAAGAUGGCCUCGCGUCUGAUUAGCUAGUUGGUGAGGUAACGGCUCACCAAGGCGACGAUCAGUAGCCGGACUGAGAGGUUGGCCGGCCACAUUGGGACUGAGAUACGGCCCAGACUCCUACGGGAGGCAGCAGUGGGGAAUAUUGGGCAAUGGGCGCAAGCCUGACCCAGCAACGCCGCGUGAAGGAAGAAGGCUUUCGGGUUGUAAACUUCUUUUGACAGGGAAGAGUAGAAGACGGUACCUGUCGAAUAAGCCACGGCUAACUACGUGCCAGCAGCCGCGGUAAUACGUAGGUGGCAAGCGUUGUCCGGAUUUACUGGGUGUAAAGGGCGUGUAGCCGGGUUGACAAGUCAGAUGUGAAAUCCUGCGGCUUAACCGCAGAACUGCAUUUGAAACUGUUGAUC
rnacentral:rRNA from 1 species